rnacentral:tRNA from 1 species
GCCAGUGUGGAUCAAUGGAUAGAGCGUCGGCCUGCGGAGUGGGAGGUCCCCGGUUCGAUUCCGGCCAAGGGCA